UGUUUUCCGUCUGUUGCCUUUUCAGUAAAACGAUCCUCUUUUGACGUCAGCGCUGAUGUCAGGAGAAGGGGAGGCACCAGACACACUGCCCUCAACAGGGGGGCCUGUUUGAAUCCUCCCAAUAUUCCUGCUGUGUGACCUUGAACACAGUGCUUAAUUCCUCUGAGCCUCAGUUUCCUCAUCGGUGAAAGAGGAGUGACGAUGGGGCUUCCUUAAAGGGCUGUGGAAAACACUGAGUGAAAUAAAACAGGGCCAGAGGUUGGCCCAUGUAAGGGCUCCUAAGAGUUGCCAGGAAGUGACAUAUUAAUAGCCGAUCACAGUCACACUCCACAAUGUUUCCUUUAAAUCAAUUUAUUUUAAAAAGAAGCCUACAAAGGUCAACCGUGUGUGUGUGUGUGUGUGUGUGUGUGUGUGUGUGUGUAUUUGAAUCCUGAGAUAAGUUGGGUAAGGGAGCAAUGACCAGUGUGACCUUAGCCUGGUAAAGCCCGUGGAACCGCAAAGGAGAUGCAAGAGGCUGGCCUCUUCCUGUGCGGGGGUGGGGAGUCAGAACUAGAGAAGGAGGCGCUGGGGCUUAUGGGAGACUGUCCCGCUCACAGUUAAUUGUGAGAUGCUCUUCCUCAGUGCUGGGCUUUUGCCCACUCACAUCUGGUGCUGGGAGUCCCUCGUGAUGUCUGCAGGGCUCCCGGCCGCCUCCACGCCUCCACUCCUGGAAGCUGGGGCGAUGUCCAGUUACUCCUAGAAGACUCGUCUCCGCUCCUGGCACUGCCCUUUAAGAGUAAAAAACCAGCAACUGUUGUUCCUGGAUGGAGAAGUUCCCUCCAAGAGGAUGAGGGACUGCGGGGGAGUCGGCCGUUCUGCCUGGCAGAGGAGGCUGCUGGGAGUGGACAGGUGCCCGCUCCAUGAAGAUUUCCCCAUGAGGACAGGGAACUGAGCUGCCCUGCAGACCUGGGCUCAGUGUGGAAACUGCUGGGAGCAGCGUUUCCCAGGAGAGCCGAAUGGUGAUGCUUUUUGUAGGUAGUGAGCUCCCCGUCACGGGAGGUGUGUGAGCAGAACUAGCCCACCUUCUGACGGUGAUGCCGUGAAAGCAUUUCCAAUGGCAGAAGCAGGAUCAGACUUGGGGUUUCCAAACUUCAUUUUGGAUUUUAUUCCUUGAGACCAUUAUUUACACUUUUUCUUCCUCUGAACAAUUUAUGUAUUUUAUUAAAAGAGUGAGUUUAGUUUUAAAAAGGUGAAUCUGUGUCAUUACCAUAGAGAGGUUACCAUAAAAAAUGGGUACAAGAGAAAGUGGUAUUUGACGUUAGCCAAGUACUGCUGCCUGAGAAGGGCCCCUGAGCCUUAGAUCUGCUCUGACGUUAGCCAAGUACUGCUGCCUGAGAAGGGCCCCUGAGCCUUAGACCUGCGCGUUCCUUGUGUGUAAAGGGACACUGGCGAGUGUCAGACAGGUGCUGGAGAUGGACUGUCACUAACAAGACGUUUUCUUGGAUGUGACCGGCACAGAGCAACGAGAGGGUGGAAGGAGCCAGCUCCCUCAGGCCAUUGCGUCCAUUACCCACAGGCCACAGAGGCCCUCACCCGCCCUGGGGGGAAACACUGGCCCCGAGGCCCCCGAGGAGCCCUGUCUUGCUGGACCGUGUCUGCACCAGGGAUCCUCCCACAGGACUCGGCUACGGGCACAAUUUGAAAGGUAAAUCGGGGACACACAUUUCAGGUGUGUUAAUGCAAAACGCAGAUCUCUGGUGCUCAAGGCGAACCCUGAGCUCAGGCACCUUGAGGGGCCCCGGGAACACCUGUGCGCCCUGGGACCACGUGCUGUGCAGCCCCGGAUGCCAAGGGGUCCAAGAUCUAGCUCAGACCCCCCCGGCCACCAGCACCGUGGGCUCAGGAGACUCUAUCCUCGCCUUGCAGGAGCUAGGAGGCGUGGGAGGAGGCCCUAGAGGUCACCCGCAGAGCACAGCAGCCUUUGAGAACAAGGGUAGCCUGAUAAAGUGUCCUGGAACAUUCUGAACUCGCUAAGUUCUAUCCCGGUGGGGCUUUGUCUGCAGAGGAAGUCAUUAAAAGGGAAAGAAAGCACGAACCCAGGUCCCUCUGGCUCCCCUCUGCUGCCUGUCCUGGCAGCUCUAGGGGCUCAGAAUAGGCGCUUCACACUUUUAUGGUCAAUCACGGUCCUCCGGCACAGUGUUUGGAGCCCCUCCGUCCAAGAACUGAAAUGGAGGAGCUGGUGCGGACACACCCCCUCUCUCCACGGACUUCAGCUGGCUCUAUGGACAUCUUACUUUGGGGAAAGUGUGUCUCCUCCUGAGAUCAGAAGAGAAGUGAAGAGAGAGAGAGACAAACUUUCUCCAUGUCGUUGGAGACAGGAAGCUCCCCCGCUGCCACACGAGACUUGACACCCCAGUCUGGUGUCUGGCCUGGAAAAGGGACCAUCAGACAUGGUAUCUGAAAACAACAUAGCUUAGCGAGCGUGCUGUAUUUGAAGAACACUUAAAAUCCUAUGUUCACUGCUAUUUUGGUGAAUUUUGCAUAUGUAUCAGUUGAAUCAUUUGAAACUGCCCAUGUUCUUCCUUUUUUGACUUCCCAAGAUGUCCAUUUCCACCUAAUGACAACUGACACCACACCUCAGAAAUGAUGCAAACAUGUUGCAACAAAGUAGGCUGAUUUCACUGUUUCGCAUGAGAAAGAGGAUUUUGCUGAAGGUUAAGGAGGUCAGGCUUGGUUACAGACAGUGGCUGUGUGAGCUGUUGUGAUCUGUCAGACGCUGUGGCCAGGUGAGGAUGAGUAUUCAGUGCGGUCCAGGUGUGGGCUGACAGCUGGCUUACCGAAGAAGAGAAUCAUGAGGUCAGAGUGGUCCCAGGAAGAGACUCAGCCCAGAGACGUCCAAACUUCCUGGAAGGCAGAGCUUCAUGGGGGAUUAAGCUUGUCAGUUGUAAUUCCACCCUAGGCGGGGAGAGCCCCUUUGCAGCAGAGCAGACGGCUCUGGACUCUGCACGGCUGCCUGCUGACCUUUCCCUGGGUCGCUUUAUCAGCUUCCGGCACCUCUCACAGCGCUCAGUGCCGUGCUGGGGGUGCGCAGGCCCUCCACUCAAGCUGCCACCGUCGUGGCAGGAUCUCUGUGCUCCAACAGCACUGCUUUGCUAACCUCUGAUGUGAACUGAGAUGUCGGCCUCGGGGGCCGGGACACCGUCCAGCUCGGUGCAAGCACCUGUUGGCUGGUCCAGGCAAAUUGUGAAGGGCCGACUCGGGGCCACAAACCUCCCCCCUGCUCCUCACUCUUUGUGUCUCCCCGGCAAGGUGACUCGGAGUUUCAAUUCCAUCUUUGUCUUUUUUAGAGUAUCUGCGGCCUUUGAAGGCAGCUGCUGGGGAAUCGGAUUCCCCUGCACAGGUCCCGGGCAUUCUCCCAAAACGCUGGUGGACGCGGGAGGCUCUCCCUGGGGUUACAGAUUCACAGAUAAGCCACACGGAGCAACAUGCGUUUACCGUCCAAAGGCUGCCCUUCUGGCGGCGGUGAUGGGAGCGCUGGGCCAGGAGAACAGAGACCCUCAUUCACAAGCACUUACUUGGGUCGGCUUAUUCCGCCGGUGAUAAAUCAGGCGUCUGGACAGGCAGAUGCCGGCGGUGUCAGGUUCUCUCUAGAAGCCACUGGAAAUUGCUCAGAGAGCUUGGAGUUAGAGACUAGGUUUUGAGUAGAAAAAGAUGGAGUCUGGACUUCCCCGCCCUCCCUUAGAGCCCUGAGCCCUAAGGACACCAUCUGAGGACACCCCGGGGCACCCUAAGUUCCAGGAAAGGCAGACAGCAGAGUGAGGAGAAGCCCCCCUCCGUGCCGGGGGCUCCACGGCACAGGCGUUGCCGAAACUGCGGGCAGGGACGUGCCAGGCCCCCCGGCGCCCGCAGAGCCCAACACUGUCCAGACCCAGGGCCUCGGCUGCCCAGCAUUUCCCUAUAAAAAUCAUUUGAGUUUCAUUGUGGACUCACUUGUGCGGUCCUUCUGCAUCCGCUUCCAUAAAGAAGCAAGUGUCUUUGCCAGGUGGAAGGCAUGGGAACUGCCCAGGCCUGCCCAGUGCCCGCCCUGCCAGUAUGAGGGUGGAGGUGGGCUCAGAAGGUCCACCCAGUGGAGACUUCACAUUCCGGAAGGACCCCACUUCAGGGGAGUCGCUACAGUAGCUUCAAACACAGCUAUGUAUGCAUCGCGGGGUCCAUCAUGGCAGAGAGACGCCCGCCAAGCCUCCCGCCUGUAAUGCACAACGUUAUUCGUCAAUCCUGUAAUUGCCACGUGACUAGGAAGAUUGUAUUGCAUCGAGGGUGUUUUUGUGUUAAAGACAAUGAACGCAGACCUUCAAAUUAUCAACAA